GUCCCCAUCGUCUAGCCAGGUCCAGGACACAGGCCUUUCACGCCUGCGACAGGGGUUCAAAUCCCCUUGGGGACGCCA
rnacentral:tRNA from 2 species